rnacentral:lncRNA from 1 species
CAGAGAUCUAAACCAUUUGAAUUCUCCAAAUAUCUCAAAGCACUUCGUUUUCUCCUUCCCUUUGACCUCCUUGGAAGAGGCGUGCUCUCCAUAGUUUGGUAACCACCAGCGACCAAAGCUCUUACAUAAGUCACCAAUGUUUACCUUUAUUAAGAGCAACAUGAGAACCCAAGUCAUUCCUUGACAGGCAGGGAUUGUGACUCCCGGACCAAUGUGGUUUUAUACCUCUGGUACACUCUGUCUCCAUUGUUCUCCUCCCUGACAGUAUCUCGCCCCACCAAAUUAAAACAAUUAAUAAAUGUAUAGCUAAGCUCCCUGGUUCAUAUGAUCUCUGGCCUGUUGUGACUCACGAAAGAAAAGGUGAAAAAGAUAGGGAGGUUGGAAACCAAAUUCUUCAGAAUGGCUACCAAGACACCAAUGCAGGCUGCCUGUGAUCAGGUCGUUGAAAUCUACGAGAGGUAUGCUAACAAGGAUGAUGUCCUGGAUAAGCAUGAAUUAAAGAAGCUGGUAGAGGAGCAGUUUCCAGAUUGCCACAAGCAUAUCCAAAACAAUGAAGCUGUCCAUAAACUCUUCCAGGAACUGGACAAAGAUAAGAACGGCACCCUGGAUUUUCUGGAAUGUAUGGCCAUAGUUGCGAGAUAUGUCCACGCUACCCAUGAGAAGCUUCAUGGCCGUGGGGAAGGAAAGGACCCCCAUUGCCACCCCCAUGGCCACCCCCAUGGCCACUAAGAAGGAGAGCUAGCAAGUAGCCGAGGAUGAUGUCCAGAGAAAGAAUGAGAUAAAUUACGCAAUAAAUCAAGACAACGCCCCCUCCUUCCUAAAUGC